UUUAAAAUCAUUGACAGGCCUGAGAGUUUUCCAUACGGCCUGCACCCUAACCUCUGGGAAGAAAAUAUCCACAAUGAAAUUUCUACAAGAUUAGAGGAAGGAGAGAGGCAACGGGGAUUCCAUUUCUACUAGGAGUAUCAACCUCUGAGAGAAAAAUAUCCAUCUCUGUGGAUGUCAUCUGCUCUGCAGAAAACCCUUUCCUGGAACUCCCAGUCCGUCACUUUAGUGUUGAACCUGCCACCUUCAGAUUCACACUGCAGCACCUCAGAUCAUUGACAGGCCUGAGAGUUUUCCAUACGGCCUGCACCCUAACCUCUGGGAAGAAAAUAUCCACAAUGAAAUUUCUACAAGAUUAGAGGAAGGAGAGAGGCAACGGGGAUUCCAUUUCUACUAGGAGUAUCAACCUCUGAGAGGGAUAUAUCCAUCUCUGUGGAUGUCAUCUGCUCUGCAGAAAACCCUUUCUUGGAACUACCAGGAAACAUGAAUCUGAUGUGGACCCUCCUCCUUUUCCUCCUUUUGGACGUAACUGUCUUCAUUCCAGCCCUGCCCUUCUCAACACGACAUUUAGACAACCCCAGGUCGUGGGUCCCUAGAGGACACCACCGAUACUGUGAUGUGAUGAUGAGGUGCCGUUGGCUGAUCUAUAGGGGUAAAUGCGAGCAGAUCCACACAUUCAUUCAUAGAAUCUGACCACCAUAGCAGAUUUCUGCAGAACUCCACCACUGCCCUGUACCAACAGCCCCUCCAUGUGCAGCUGCCACAACAGUACUCAUGAUGUCAAUGUCACUGACUGCUUUGCCAGCACAGGGACCCGACCUCUUCACUGCCACUACCAAAAAUAAGAAGGAGUCCACCAGGCCCAUGCGAGUGGGCUGCAAGAAGGGGGCAUCUGUUCACCUGGAUGGCUAGGUUCCUCCUGACAACGGCACCUGAAUGACUUGCACCCUACGCCUUCAAAUCUGUGCAGCACUGUCAAGGUCUUCUUUGUAAAUGCUUCGUCCUUUGCACGCAGGCUCCUGCGUCUUUCUUACAGCCUGUUCCCCACCAACCCCAUGUGCCCUACCCCUGCCACAGUGUCAGGGCUUUUGGUGGAGGAUAAGGCUGCAGUGGAGGGUUGGUGGGAGGGAGCCUGAAUUACGGAAAUAAUACUCGGGAAAAGACUUGCUCCAACCAAGCUGCUAGACAAUCCCCUUCUCCUGGGGCUGAUCUUCCCACCAGCUGCUCUCAUAAAACCUCCUGAUGGCUGGCCCUAGGUUUCCUGGAUCAUAGGGUCCUUCUGCCUUCUGCGGGACAUUCUAUGCCUUUCUCCUCAAUGGGCUCCUUCGGAGGGUAUUAGGGACGAUACCCUGGCGGGAAACCGCUUCCUUUAGGGAAACAAAUCACUGUGGCUCCAGGGGUGUCACCGGAAAAAGCCGUUUCCGGAGAAGCCGGAGGAGCUUGGGCAACUCCGCAGGCCCAGAGCCUUCGUGGUCUCCCAGUUCCCGUGGCCGUCGUAUUGGUCGGCAGGGGGCGCCGCGCCACAAGCUUCCUGCACAAGAGUCCAAAACUUCUUUCUUGGUUUCCUUUGAGACAGGCUGCAGGUUUCUUGGUUGCUGACACGGGUAGACGAUAAUAGGUGAAUAAACAAAAUCCAGCCAGCAUAAAUACAGUCUAACUGUUGAAGAACAGAUUUCUGAGUCUACCAUAACUUUCAUACACUGCAGCACUUUAACGUUGAACCUGCCACCUUCAGAUUCACACUGCAGCACCUCAGCCUACUAGAAACCGAGGUGAAGGAGUGUGAAUGACUUGGAGCAGUUCCUCACUGACAGAAGAGCACAAGGAAUUUUCUCUCUGCAACAUCUCUGCAGCAGGGGGCACCACUUCCCAAAUCAAGCUUUGCUGGCGUUUUUGAAAUCUGGAGGAAGGUGAAAAAUGACUAUUUUCAUAAAGUAGGUGAAGGAAAAUUCUGGAAGAGUACAUCCAUUUUUUUUAUGCUCACCUGGAGAAGAUUUG
rnacentral:lncRNA from 1 species